rnacentral:rRNA from 1 species
GAGAAAGUAAGCAAGGGCAGACGGUGGAUGCCUUGGCUCUCGGAGGCGACGAAGGACGUGAUAAGCUGCGAAAAGCCCGGGGGAGGCGCAAAUAGCCCUUGAUCCGGGGAUAUCCGAAUGGGGCAACCCGGCAGGCUGAAGGCCUGUCAUCCCGUAAGGGAGGCGAACGUGGGGAACUGAAACAUC